rnacentral:rRNA from 2 species
UGGAUGGACUCGCGGCCUAUCAGCUUGUUGGUGAGGUAAUGGCUCACCAAGGCGACGACGGGUAGCCGGCCUGAGAGGGUGACCGGCCACACUGGGACUGAGACACGGCCCAGACUCCUACGGGAGGCAGCAGUGGGGAAUAUUGCACAAUGGGCGCAAGCCUGAUGCAGCGACGCCGCGUGAGGGAUGACGGCCUUCGGGUUGUAAACCUCUUUCAGUAGGGAAGAAGCGAAAGUGACGGUACCUGCAGAAGAAGCGCCGGCUAACUACGUGCCAGCAGCCGCGGUAAUACGUAGGGCGCAAGCGUUAUCCGGAAUUAUUGGGCGUAAAGAGCUCGUAGGCGGUUUGUCGCGUCUGCCGUGAAAGUCCGGGGCUCAACUCCGGAUCUGCGGUGGGUACGGGCAGACUAGAGUGAUGUAGGGGAGACUGGAAUUCCUGGUGUAGCGGUGAAAUGCGCAGAUAUCAGGAGGAACACCGAUGGCGAAGGCAGGUCUCUGGGCAUUAACUGACGCUGAGGAGCGAAAGCAUGGGGAGCGAACAGGAUUAGAUACCCUGGUAGUCCAUGCCGUAAACGUUGGGCACUAGGUGUGGGGGACAUUCCACGUUUUCCGCGCCGUAGCUAACGCAUUAAGUGCCCCGCCUGGG